rnacentral:rRNA from 1 species
CCUACGGGUGGCAGCAGUCGAGAAUCAUUCACAAUGGGGGAAACCCUGAUGGUGCGACGCCGCGUGGGGGAAUGAAGGUCUUCGGAUUGUAAACUCCUGUCAUGUGGGAGCAAAUUAAAAAGAUAGUACCACAAGAGGAAGAGACGGCUAACACUGUGCCAGCAGCCGCGGUAAUACAGAGGUCUCAAGCGGUGUUCGGAAUCACUGGGCGUGAAGCGUGGGUAGGCUGAUUCGUAAGUCGUGUGUGAAAGGCGCGGGCUCAACCCGCGGACGGCAGGUGAUACUGAGAGACUAGAGUAAGGGAGGGGGAAGCGGAAUGCGCGGUGUAGCAGUGAAAUGCGUAGAUAUCGAGAGGAACACUCGUGGCGAAGGCGGGUUCCUGGACAUUAACUGACGCUGAGGCACGAAGGCCAGGGGAGCGAAAGGGAUUAGAUACCCUGGUAGUC